GACGAACGCUGGCGGCGUGCUUAACACAUGCAAGUCGAACGAAGAGCGAUGGAAGCUUGCUUCUAUCAAUCUUAGUGGCGAACGGGUGAGUAACGCGUAAUCAACCUGCCCUUCAGAGGGGAACAACAGUUGGAAACGACUGCUAAUACCGCAUACGAUCCAAUCUCGGCAUCGGGACUGGAUGAAAGGUGGCCUCUAUUUAUAAGCUAUCACUGAAGGAGGGGAUUGCGUCUGAUUAGCUAGUUGGAGGGGUAACGGCCCACCAAGGCGAUGAUCAGUAGCCGGUCUGAGAGGAUGAACGGCCACAUUGGGACUGAGACACGGCCCAGACUCCUACGGGAGGCAGCAGUGGGGAAUCUUCCGCAAUGGACGAAAGUCUGACGGAGCAACGCCGCGUGAGUGAUGACGGCCUUCGGGUUGUAAAGCUCUGUUAAUCGGGACGAAUGGUUCUUGUGCGAAUAGUGCGAGGAUUUGACGGUACCGGAAGAGAAAGCCACGGCUAACUACGUG
rnacentral:rRNA from 1 species